CCACUGUCGCCAAGUGCUUGCUCAUGGGGGAAUGUUGGGUUCUCUGUAUUACAAAGUUUGUGUGAUACAGCCAGGAGAUAUAAAUAAACUGAACUGAAUUGGAGUGAAUUAAGCAGAUAACAAAGAGUAAAAUGGAUGACAAAGGACAGGAAGGAACAGCCCUGAGAAGAGAUGGGGACAUGCAGAAUACCAGCAGCUAGCAGAAGACGUCUGGUGCCUGAACUAAACACGCUCCAUUUAAAGAUGCUGGGGACGAGUUGACAAGAAGAAGAAUCGGGGCAGAGCCAACAGAAGAGGAGUUCAACAACAUCUGACAUGAUUAAACUAUG